CCAAUAGCGUAUAUUAAAGUUGUUGCAGUUAAAAAGCUCGUAGUUGAAUUUCGGGGUCUAUCCGUUGGUCGGGCUUUUGGGUCCGUACUGGCGUUAUGGAUUCCUACCUUCUGAAUAACCGGUAUGCCAUUAAUUUGGUGUGUUGGGGAAGCAGGACUGUUACCUUGAAAAAAUUAGAGUGCUUAAAGCAGGCUAUCGCCUGAAUACAUUAGCAUGGAAUAAUGAAAUAGGACGGCAUGGUUCUAUUUUGUUGGUUUCUAGGAUCACCGUAAUGAUUAAUAGGGAUAGUUGGGGGCAUUAGUAUUCAAUUGUCAGAGGUGAAAUUCUUGGAUUUAUUGAAGACUAACUUCUGCGAAAGCAUUUGCCAAGGAUGUUUUCAUUAAUCAAGAACGAAAGUUAGGGGAUCGAAGACGAUCAGAUACCGUCGUAGUCUUAACCAUAAACUAUGCCGACUAGGGAUCGGACGAUGUUAAUUUUUUAAUGACUCGUUCGGCGCCUUACG
rnacentral:rRNA from 1 species